rnacentral:rRNA from 1 species
AUUGAACGCUGGCGGCAUGCUUUACACAUGCAAGUCGAACGGCAGCGCGGGCUUCGGCCUGGCGGCGAGUGGCGGACGGGUGAGUAAUACAUCGGAACGUGCCCAGUAGUGGGGGAUAGCUCGGCGAAAGCCGGAUUAAUACCGCAUACGACCUGAGGGUGAAAGCGGGGGAUCUUCGGACCUCGCGCUAUUGGAGCGGCCGAUGGCAGAUUAGCUAGUUGGUGGGGUAAAGGCCUACCAAGGCGACGAUCUGUAGCUGGUCUGAGAGGACGACCAGCCACACUGGGACUGAGACACGGCCCAGACUCCUACGGGAGGCAGCAGUGGGGAAUUUAGGACAAUGGGCGAAAGCCUGAUCCAGCAAUGCCGCGUGUGUGAUGAAGGCCUUCGGGUUGUAAAGCACUUUUGGCGGGAACGAAAAGGACUGUGCCAAUACCACGGUUCGAUGACGGUACCCGCAGAAUAAGCACCGGCUAACUACGUG